rnacentral:rRNA from 1 species
AGUUGUAAUUUGCAGAGGAUGCUUCGGGUACGGGUUCCUUCCGAGUUCCCUGGAACGGGACGCCAUAGAGGGUGAGAGCCCCGUC